rnacentral:misc_RNA from 1 species
UCCCAUGACGCGUGUCCCUCCAUCUUGUUGAAAGCCAUGGCUCAGGGAAAGAGCUUGUUAGACGAUAUCAAAAAAGAACUAGAGUGCCCUGUGUGCCAGGAACAAUUCAGUGAGAGCAAUGAACCGAAAAUUCUAAAAUGUCAACACACGUUCUGUAAAUCUUGUCUUAACGGCUGGCUACGACAGCAUGGCGGAGGAAGGUUAAGCUGCCCAAAUUGUCGAGUGAUUACCGAAUGUCCUAACCACAACAUUGAAUGUUUGCCAACCAACCUCGCUUGCAAAAAUCUGGGAGAUCUCUUAAAAGCUCACAGUGGCUGGGAUAUCAAAUCACUACGAGAGAACUUAUGCGAGCGCCAUAGAAAAAAUAUUGAAUAUUACUGCGAACAGUGCCAGAUUUGCAUAUGCUCUGACUGUGUCAUUGUCGAACAUCGGGAUUCGAACAAUCACAAAAUCGUGUCUGCAGAAGAUGGAGCGAAGAUGCAGGCAGAAAUUGUCACAGAAAAACUGAGAUCUGUUGAAGCGAACACUUCACAUUUGAGGAGCGAUAUUGUUACUUUGCUGGAAAGGAGAGAGAAAUUUAACACUGGCAUAAAUCAGGCGACGAAAGAGGUCCGUAACGCGGCUGAAAUGUACAUAAAUUUGAUUCACCGACUCGAAACAAGCGUGACGGAGCAGCUGGCGAGGGAGAGAUCGCUUAACGACGAUGUUAUUUCCCAGGAGUUGUUGAAGCUGAACGAGAAACUGGAGAAAAUGACUAGCGCUGCUACUCGCGGUAGAGCGAUUCUUGAAAACCAUAACAUAGACGAAAUGAUAAAUAUAAAACAAGUUCUCGAUGAAUUGAUUUCAGAAAAAGUCACACCGUUGCUUAAGUAUCCAGAUUUAAAAUACACCCCAUAUGCACUUCCUCGAAAUUUCACCUUAGGGAAGCUGUAUAUAUCUCGCACAGAACCUUCUUUGAGUGUCGCUACUGGUGAAGGCCUGACAAAGGGUAAGCAGUCAGAGGAAGCUAAUUUUACCGUGACAACAAAGGAUGCAACGGGUCAGACAACUUACAGUAAAAUUGACAAUGUUAUUGUUGAGGUUACUUCUGUACGGAAUGGAAUAGAAAACAUCUCAGUAGUUGUGAAGGACUUGAAAGACGGACGUUAUUCUGUGUCUUAUACACCGAAUUCUUUUGGCGAAUUCAGGGUUUCAAUUAAAGUGCGAGAUGAACCAAUCCGUCAGAGUCCCUUCAAAUUGUUCAUUCACAACAAUCCGAAGCAUGAAGAUUUCGUCGGGGCUUCUAAAUUUCAAGUGCGGAGGAUAAAUCAUUCAUCUCAUGUUCUGAGCGGAGCAAGUCAACAAGUCUCGCUGUUUGUAGAGGAGGAUGAAAGUGCCGUCGACUUCGGCGAAAACGGAGGAGAAUAUGAAGACUAUGACGAGGAAGAUGUCAUUACAAUCAUUGCCAGCGGCAUCGUGUCUUCCAUAUCAGAAGAUGUACUGAUUUUUUACUUUGAGAAUUCUAGACGAUCAGGAGGAGGCGAUGUCUCCGAGAUCCAUUUCAACGAAGAAGGGGAAGCGGUGAUUACUUUCGCUGAGGUUAAAGACCUAAAGCGACUUCUCGAGGAGCCACACGAAAUUGACGGCCAAAUGAUAACAGUGGUACGACAGCCUCCUUCGAAAAAAGUGCCCCUUGAUCCGUUAAGAGUUCAUGUUCAAGGAAUCAGCGAAACGACCACUAAAGAUUGUUUGUCCUUUUAUUUGGAAAAGUUUGCUCUUGUUGAUGUUGAAGAGGUGUAUUUCGGUGUAAAGAAUAAUGCCCUGGCAGUUUUUGAUGGUGAACCAGACUUUGAAUCACUCUUGCAUAAUGUAAACAAAGAUAAAAAAGGCUUGCGGGGAGAGAAACCUCGCCUAGAAAGAGUACCGGUCUGUUCAUGUAUUCUGGUCACGGGACUGAAGAAAGAAUCAACCGAUAUCACCAUUGACCUUUAUUUUGAAAAUGUGAAACGAAGUGGUGGGAGGGAUGUCUGCAGAGUGGAAAGGAUUAGAGAAGACCAGGCCGUAGUUCAUUUCGAGGAUCAUACAAGCAAGAGGAUUUUAUCUGGGCAACUGUCCACUCCAGAAGCUGCUCAUUUCUCUUGGAGCAGUUCAAGAUGUCAUUGCAAGAAGCCAGAGACAUGCCCACGUCAUUGACGGAGCUAUCUUAGAAGUGACGCCCUACUACCCUUUCCUCUAAAACAUAACAUCCACGAAAACGGAGAUGACUUUUAGCCUAGAAUUCGAUACCAUGACUACAUUAAUCCUGGCUUAUCACAAAGUAAACUGCUACUAUAGGCUUAUAGAGUGGCUGAAUUCCUACAUGGCUCGAUAGUCACUUUUUCGUCCUCGGAAAGGGACCCUUCAUCAGAAGAAAGAACUGAGAAGUUUAAGAGUUUCCUGCCUAACCCCAAGAAGUGUGAUGUUUCCGUUCCUCCCGAAAUAUUUGUUGAGAUUUCAAAGCCGUGGCAAGAGCUAACUUCCGAUCAAGGUUCAGAUGCCCCCCUCCACUCAAGAAAGGUUGAAAUUCCCUCCCCCGAUCAAAUGCCCGUGGGUUGCCCAGGAGGGAUGAAGAAACUUGGAGUUGCUUAGUGCAUUAAUUUGUUUCCUUUAUUCUGAAGAUCGGCUGUCGAAAAAACCCUACGAAAGAUGAUCGGACCAAGCGCAAUUCAAUGUUGUGACGAGACAGUUUGAACUUACGUGGAAAAGAACGAAUUAGCUAGAGCGCUUCCGCCGAAUGGACACUACUUUCCUAAGAUUACUCAUGAAAUUUUUUUAACCGGUUCAAGCAACUGCUCUAAGUGUGAAUCCUGGGAGUCAAAAGCCAUCACUCAUUCUUUAGUGAGUUAAGUUAGAAAUUACACGCUAUUAUCAUUUUCUCAAACAAAAUGAAAAUCACGGUAGGCACUUUGGCACCUUGUUUUAAGAUUCAUUAGUUUUUGUUAUUUUGCACUCUCGCCACAUUUUCCUUGGCCACCUAGCCUGCUCCGUAAUUUUCUGAAAUUAGAGAAGGAAAAAACAAUCAUGAUGAACAGGGCAGACAUGCGUAUGGUCUGGUUCUAGUCAAAUGAUAGAAAGAGCAAGCAACCGUGCUCUAAAUAGAAUCAGGUAGAUAAGAGAAUCGCUUCCAAGGAGGCUAAAUUCAAACUAUAUGACGGCUGAAUUUCUUCUACAAGCGUUCAUCUUUCCUCAAACCAAAACGCUCGGCGAUAUCUUGGUAAAGAAAAACCUCAGCCUCGCAUAAUUGCAAGGAUUAUCUCCAAAUUUAUGGAAUAGCUAUUAAUUAGAGCAAAACUGGCUUUGAUUUUCGUCAUGGUUAAAAAAUUUCUAUACUUCUGCAUAGUAAAGAAAUUGCAGUUUCGUACAUUGGUGAAGUCAACAUUUGAGUUUGCUCUGAGUUGCAGCGAGAGCUAGCUUAAUAACAAAGUCUCGGAAGGAAUGAAUCUCUUUAAUAUCCAUUUUCCCAUUUUAAUUUAACAAGGUAGAUUUUGUGAGGAUUAACUAUUUGAGAUAUUCAGAGAGUCGCGGGAAAGAACGGAUACGAUUGACAAGGAACAGCAACUGAACAACAGAAUGAGAAAACCAUGAAAACAAGAGUGAAAUCAUGGAAAUUCGAAUGGAAGAUAAAAGGGAUCGCAGCGGUUAAGUUCCCAGCUCAGUUUAUAUCAACAUUUAUCUCCUCAGUUUUAAAGAAUAAAAAUGAGUAAAGUCAAUAAAGAAUAAAAUUGAGUAAAGUCAAUAAAGAAUAAAAAUGAGUA